AUUUUCCAGUGUGGCAAUUUGAACGACAGCUUGCGGCCACAUUAAAAAAAUGCUAAAGCGUCUGUGCGGAAUCAACA
rnacentral:ncRNA from 2 species